GGGGCACCUCGGGGAUGGUCAGGGUCCAGGUCAUCGCAGGGCCUCGGCCAGGGUUCGGACCCUGAUGCCCUGCC
rnacentral:tRNA from 1 species